rnacentral:lncRNA from 1 species
CUGGCGGGCAUGCGCGGGCGCCCCACUAACAUGGCGGCGGCGGUGGCGGCAGCGUGAAUCCCGGCGGCGGGGGCUGCGCGCUGCCUGACAGACCCACGAGCCGCCGGCGGCGCGCGAGGAAGCGGGUGGCUCCCCCCGCCCCUAGGCCGGAAACUGUUGUGCUGAAAGGAAGAAUUAACUGGUCUUUCAACUUCAGCCUUUUUAUUGUGAGAAGGAAGAUCACAGAAGUGUUACCAUGGGGAGAACAGCAGCUAAAGAUUCAAAGAAUGUUAAAAAGGAGAAACAUGGGAAGAGUCAGCAGUCAAACAACGUGUCUUUAAAAAAUGCAUGUUUGCUGAUACUGAAGAGAGGAGUUGCAAUAAUUAGGCUGAAUCUUCAUUAGUGCUAAAUGAAGGUAGAGAAGGUAAAAUAAUUUUAUGCAUUUGUUCUUCUGUAUGAAAAACUAAAACACAAAGUUGAUUCUUUGAGACUAAAUAAAAUUUCAG